rnacentral:rRNA from 1 species
CCCAGACUCCUACGGGAGGCAGCAGUGGGGAAUAUUGCACAAUGGGGGAAACCCUGAUGCAGCGACGCCGCGUGAGUGAAGAAGUAUUUCGGUAUGUAAAGCUCUCUCAGCAGGGAAGAAAAUGACGGUACCUGACUAAGAAGCCCCGGCUAACUACGUGCCAGCAGCCGCGGUAAUACGUAGGGGGCAAGCGUUAUCCGGAUUUACUGGGUGUAAAGGGGGCGCAGACGGCGAUGCAAGCCAGGAGUGAAAGCCCGGGGCCCAACCCCGGGACUGCUCUUGGAACUGUGCGGCUAGAGUGCGGGAGGGGCAGGCGGAAUUCCUGGUGUAGCGGUGAAAUGCAUAGAUAUCACGCAGAACUCCGAUUGCGAAGGCAGCGUACCGGCGCCCAACUGACGCUGAAGCACGAAGGCGUGGGUAUCGAACAGGAUUAGAUACCCCCGUACUG